UACUGUAGUUCUUUUUGGAAUAGUUCUGAUUCUUCAUGAAGAAAUUCGUGAAAUAAAGAAUGCUUUGGAGACAACAAGAAACAAUUUUCAGUCCAUUCUUGAAAGCAAUACAUAUUUUGGAUCAUUACUUUCAGUUCAGACAACAAAGGGCCUAUUCAUUCACGACUGGAAAACAAGGCUGCAUAAAGAUUCAGUAGCGUUUAAUUUGUCAUCACUGAGUGGAGCAGGUUACAUGUCAGAAAACAAAAAAAUAUUCAGCAAUACCAAGUUCCCAUCAGCCCUAGCAGGACAAAGCGAAAACCCCGAACAUACUCCUGGCGUAAAAGCCGACAGGUGGAUAUUAGAAGGGGAAGAGUUUCGAUUGAUAUUCAUUGUGCGAUACGUAUUUAAAACGUUUGUAAAAGAAAAUGCAUUUGGUGUGUUUUUUCUUGAUGAAGGAAUUGAAGAACGGCUCUUUCGCCAAAACGAUUCACAGGAGAUUCGGAGAAACCCAGUUAUGUUUGCCGGCUGUUACGAAAAUAAUUUUCGUUUGAUUUUUGCUCAUCAAGAACUGAUAAAAUACACUUUAUUGUUUCCCUGUUUAAAAGGAUCUACAUUUACUAUUGGAUUCGAUGUAAAUGUAAGUGGAGCACUCGGUACAGUUACCUUGCGUGAUCUACUGAGUGGAAGAGAAUUAUACACAUUUAAUGCUGUCAACUUCUCAGAGCCAUUGAUCCCAGCUUUUGUUUCUUCUCACCCGGAGGAGGGUGAAUGUAUAAUAAUUCUGAUCUAAUAUGUUGUAACCUUAAAAGUAUAUAAUGAAAGAUCAUAAUUUUUUCUUAUUCUUCAUGAAGAUUUUAUUAAUGAUUAAAAUACAGACUCUUAUUUAUGCAGAGGAGUUCAGAUGCGCAAUGGAAAUAUGGGUAAAUUUGAAUGAUAAAAAUCCACUCUUAAUUAGGUUGGUCAUUUCUUUCAGAACUUUUCCAAUGAUCAGAAAUAAAAUGGAUAGUAUUGAUAA